GCCAUUCCUACUUUCGGUUAUCUAGCUUUAUGAUGGAUGAUUAACACUCAUACAGCUAGAUAACCAAAGACAGGAACAAGCUCCGUUGUCUACGCUGUAACAGCAAGAGUGCGAUUGCAGCCAAAAGACUCACUUCCUCAUCGUGCCUGCUGCGUCCAUGGAGACUAAAACAUCCACACGAGGUGCCGAGGAGGGUCGGAAGCAUCCUUCAGGCUCCAGAUGUGCGGGACACUUGACUUUGGUUGCAACCUCGCUCCGACAGACAGCAGCACGUGCACGUGCAAGAUGAGCGCGCAGAUGAGGGACAGGCCGGCCUUUCAUCCGCAGUGUGGCGCGAGCGUCUUCCUUCAGUCCGACAGGUCCUGAGGAUGCGCUUGUCUCCUCUCACGGAGUGAUGUGCCCUCACCUCCUCCCUGCCCUUUUUUUUUGCAAAUGACCCCUCCUCCGUUUGCGCUGACGUCACAGCAACGCCAAGUUGGUGAUAACCAAUCGCAUGCGGCCCAUCGUUCAGAUGGAACUUGCAUUGUUUUAGGAACCAAAGAGAAACUGUAGCCCUCUCUAAUAAAUGUAUGUUUUUAUUUUUUUUAUUUUUAAUUAUCAAUAGCACUAGUGGUUUUAGUUUAGUUUAUUUCAAUUAAUUUCUCCGAUGCCAGGGCCUGGGACAGAUUAAAGCCCUCUGAAACAAAUCUGUGAUCUGUGUAGAGAGCUACACAAAAUGUGGUAAAUGUAUUGAAGGAAGCUCAUGAAUUAUCUUUCGGGAGCCUGCUUUUAUACACUUACUUAAACUUACUAUUCAAACCAAUUAUAUAUAGAGUUUACAAAAGAUAAAAAUAAAAAAGUCACUGUGUCAAACAAUGCACAUGUGUAUGCAUAUGCACAAUGCAUAUGUGUAUCAGCCUGUACACUCCUGUACAAUCAUCUCUCAUUAGCUCCUAAGCAUCGCACACCUUACUGAAGACACCAACUAUUGACCGACAUGCAUUUUAGGCCCCAGAAACGUGCAUCAGGUCACCUCUGACUAAGGUUCAUUGUGAUCAUCUUUAAGAUAUUUGAACUGAUAGACGUGUCGUUUGGUUAGAGACAUUAGAUUCACUUUUUCCUGUUCGCAGCUCAGAACAAUACCAUUUUAGUUUAUUUGCUUUAAUAAAUCGUUGUUUGUUUUAAGGAUGAA